rnacentral:rRNA from 1 species
UACGAAGGGGGCUAGCGUUGCUCGGAAUCACUGGGCGUAAAGGGUGCGUAGGCGGGUCUUUAAGUCAGGGGUGAAAUCCUGGAGCUCAACUCCAGAACUGCCUUCGAUACUGGCGAUCUUGGAGUCCAGGAGAGGUGAGUGGAACUCCGAGUGUAGAGGUGAAAUUCGUAGAUAUUCGGAAGAACACCAGUGGCGAAGGCGGCUCACUGGCCCGGUACUGACGCUGAGGUGCGAAAGCGUGGGGAGCAAACAGG